rnacentral:rRNA from 1 species
UUAAGCUAAGAAGAGCGUAGGGAGAAUGCCUUGGCAUUAGGAGCCGACGAAGGACGUGAUAAGCUGCGAUAAGCUGCGGGGAUCAGCAAGUAUGAAUUGAUCCGCAGAUUUCCGAAUGGAGCAAUCCGUAUGUGUAUGCACAUACAUCAUAUACUGAAUCAAAUAGGUAUAUGAGGGGAACCGCCUGAACUGAAACAUCUAAGUAGGGCGAGGAAGAGAAAUCAACCGAGAUUCUGUGAGUAGUGGCGAGCGAAAGCGGAAGAGGCUAAACCAUAGGUAGCAAUACUUAUGGGGUUUCGGACAGCAUUUAGCAUUGAUAAUUUCUAGUUGAAACGUGUGGGAAAACGUACCGAAGAGUGUGAGAGUCACGUAAGCGAAAGAGAGAGUCAGCGAGCUGUAUCCAAAGUACCGCGGGACACGUGAAACCCCGUGGGAAGAUGGGGGGACCAUCCUCCAAGCCUAAAUACUACCUAAUGACCGAUAGCGAAUAGUACUGUGAAGGAACGGUGAAAAGAACCCCGGGAGGGGAGUGAAAAAGAACCUGAAACCCUAUGCUUACAAGCACCGAGAGCACGUCAAAGUGUGAUCGGGUACCUUUUGUAGAAUGGUCCGGCGAGUUAUUGUAUGCGGCAAGGUUAAGUGCUUAAGGCACGGAGCCGAAGCGAGAGCAAGUCUGAAUAGGGCGAAAAAGUCGUAUGCAAUAGACCCGAAACCGAGUGACCUAUCCAUGUCCAGGCUGAAGUGGAGGUAAAACUCCAUGGAGGGCCGAACACACGUCCGUUGAAAAGGCCGGUGAUGAGGUGUGGAUAGCGGAGAAAUUCCAAUCGAACUCGGAGAUAGCUGGUUCUCUCCGAAAUAGCUUUAGGGCUAGCCUCGUGAAAGAUUACUGGAGGUAAAGCACUGAAUGGGCUAGGGGUCGAAAGAUUACUGAACCCUAUCAAACUAAGAAUGCCAGAUAAUUGAUUCACGGGAGUCAGACAAUGUGAGAUAAGUCUCAUUGUCAAAAGGGAAACAGCCCAGACCCACAGCUAAGGUCCCUAAACAUUGUUAAGUGGAAAAGGAUGUGGGGUUGCAUAAACAACCAGGAUGUUGGCUUAGAAGCAGCCACUCAUUAAAAGAGUGCGUAAUAGCUCACUGGUCGAGUGACCCUGCGCCGAAAAUUCAACGGGGCUAAACAAUGUACCGAAGCUUGGGAUUCUAAAGUAAUUUAGAGUGGUAGGAGAGCGUCGAAUAAGGGGUGAAGUCAGAGCGGAAGCGCUGGUGGACUUUAUUCGAGUGAGAAUGCCGGAAUGAGUAGCGAGAAUUAUGUGAGAAUCAUAAUGGCCGAAAAUCUAAGGUUUCCUGAGGAAGGUUCGUCCGCUCAGGGUAAGCCGGGGGCUAAGGCGAGGCGGAGACGCGUAGCCGAUGCACAUACGGUUGAAAUUCCGUAGCCACCGAAAGAUUUAAGUACAGGGACGCUUUAGAAGUGAUGUUGCCGGGCGAUGGUUGACCCGGUCGUAAGGGAUCGAAAAUGAGUAGAGAAGUCAUCAUGGAAAGAGACAAGAAAAGCUGUAUGAAUAUCUUAGGUGCCCGUACCGCAAACCGACACAGGUAGAUAGGAAGAAGAUUCUAAGGCCAACGGGAGAAGGGUUGUUAAGGAACUCGGCAAGUUGACCCCGUAACUUAGGGAUAAGGGGUGCUCAAGUGAUUGAGCCGCAGAGAAUAGGCCCAGGCGACUGUUUAGCAAAAACACAGGUCUCUGCUAAAUCGAAAGAUGACGUAUAGGGGCUGACACCUGCCCGGUGCCGGAAGGUUAAGAGGAGAUGUGAGAGCAUUGAAUUGAAGCCCCGGUAAACGGCGGCCGUAACUAUAACGGUCCUAAGGUAGCGAAAUUCCUUGUCAGGUAA